rnacentral:tRNA from 1 species
UGAGCUAAAGCUUUUAUGAAGCACCUUCUUUUUAAGUUGGAGAAGUCAUGCGUGUCUAGUUCUU